UCAGGACGAACGCUGGCGGCGUGCCUAAUACAUGCAAGUCGAGCGGACAGAUGGGAGCUUGCUCCCUGAUGUUAGCGGCGGACGGGUGAGUAACACGUGGGUAACCUGCCUGUAAGACUGGGAUAACUCCGGGAAACCGGGGCUAAUACCGGAUGGUUGUUUGAACCGCAUGGUUCAAACAUAAAAGGUGGCUUCGGCUACCACUUACAGAUGGACCCGCGGCGCAUUAGCUAGUUGGUGAGGUAACGGCUCACCAAGGCGACGAUGCGUAGCCGACCUGAGAGGGUGAUCGGCCACACUGGGACUGAGACACGGCCCAGACUCCUACGGGAGGCAGCAGUAGGGAAUCUUCCGCAAUGGACGAAAGUCUGACGGAGCAACGCCGCGUGAGUGAUGAAGGUUUUCGGAUCGUAAAGCUCUGUUGUUAGGGAAGAACAAGUACCGUUCGAAUAGGGCGGUACCUUGACGGUACCUAACCAGAAAGCCACGGCUAACUACGUGCCAGCAGCCGCGGUAAUACGUAGGUGGCAAGCGUUGUCCGGAAUUAUUGGGCGUAAAGGGCUCGCAGGCGGUUUCUUAAGUCUGAUGUGAAAGCCCCCGGCUCAACCGGGGAGGGUCAUUGGAAACUGGGGAACUUGAGUGCAGAAGAGGAGAGUGGAAUUCCACGUGUAGCGGUGAAAUGCGUAGAGAUGUGGAGGAACACCAGUGGCGAAGGCGACUCUCUGGUCUGUAACUGACGCUGAGGAGCGAAAGCGUGGGGAGCGAACAGGAUUAGAUACCCUGGUAGUCCACGCCGUAAACGAUGAGUGCUAAGUGUUAGGGGGUUUCCGCCCCUUAGUGCUGCAGCUAACGCAUUAAGCACUCCGCCUGGGGAGUACGGUCGCAAGACUGAAACUCAAAGGAAUUGACGGGGGCCCGCACAAGCGGUGGAGCAUGUGGUUUAAUUCGAAGCAACGCGAAGAACCUUACCAGGUCUUGACAUCCUCUGACAAUCCUAGAGAUAGGACGUCCCCUUCGGGGGCAGAGUGACAGGUGGUGCAUGGUUGUCGUCAGCUCGUGUCGUGAGAUGUUGGGUUAAGUCCCGCAACGAGCGCAACCCUUGAUCUUAGUUGCCAGCAUUCAGUUGGGCACUCUAAGGUGACUGCCGGUGACAAACCGGAGGAAGGUGGGGAUGACGUCAAAUCAUCAUGCCCCUUAUGACCUGGGCUACACACGUGCUACAAUGGACAGAACAAAGGGCAGCGAAACCGCGAGGUUAAGCCAAUCCCACAAAUCUGUUCUCAGUUCGGAUCGCAGUCUGCAACUCGACUGCGUGAAGCUGGAAUCGCUAGUAAUCGCGGAUCAGCAUGCCGCGG
rnacentral:rRNA from 1 species